UACAGAGGGUGCGAGCGUUUGUUCGGAAUUAUUGGGCGUAAAGAGCUCGUAGGCGGUUUGAUCGCGUCUGCUGUGAAAACCUAAGGCUCAACCUUGGGCUUGCAGUGGGUACGGGGCAGACUAGAGUGCGGUAGGGGUGACUGGAAUUCCUGGUGUAGCGGUGGAAUGCGCAGAUAUCAGGAGGAACACCGAUGGCGAAGGCAGGUCACUGGGCCGCAACUGACGCUGAGGAGCGAAAGCGUGGGGAGCAAACAGG
rnacentral:rRNA from 1 species